GAGAAACACCGACGUCUCCCAACUUCUUUGGGCUGUUCCUUGAAACGCAACGGAUUCUAGACCUCCCCAACUCCCUCUGCAUGGACCCAAAACCCAGGGCCCUUCUGGAGGAUAGAAACAUGGCUGCUGGCUUGAUAGGAAUUUGGCUUUAGAGAGAGAUAGACAGAGAGAGAGCUAGAUAGAGAGAUAGAUAAAUAGAUAGGAGAGAGAGAGAGAGAUGGGCAGAUCUCAAAAAGGCCUCAGGAUGACUUGUUAUUAUUAUUAUUAUUAUUAUUAACCUUUAUUUAUCUUUUUAAUUAGACUUGCCCUGUUUUUCCGGAGUUUUUCCGGGGGCAGGAGGCUUUUUAAAAAAACAGGACCCAAAAAUACAUUUGAAAACAGCUGCAAUGUUUGUUUUUUUUGGUGGCGGGGGAGAGGCAAAAGAUGCGCGUUUGUGUGAGCAUGAUCUUUCCCUCCUCUUCCCUCAACUGAGGGUCAGGAUUUGAACCUGCAGCUGCUUCUGACCUGAGCUGCUUGGGAUGCUUCCUAGUUCUGGCUCUCUUCCAUGCGGUUCGAUUGGCCAAGGCAAGCAGCCAAUCACGGCAGAGCAGAAGACCAGAGGAUGAGACAACACUCAAAGUGAGGAAAAGAUGGCACCCAAAAAAGCUGCACUAUCUUUCCUUUGGAAGAAAGAGCCUGCAAGCAAGGACGCAGUGGCCCGCAAGGGCUCAGUGGCACGCAAGGACUCAACAGCUAUAGGUGCUCCUGGGAAAACCAAGAAGAAGAUAACGCCACGUGAAAUCUGGAGGAGGGUGAAAGCCUUUUUUUCAGUCUCCUACUGCGGCAUAUGCUGGCAUCAUGCUCUCCAUGCUUCUCUUCGUGGCCGCCUUGGGGAUGCUCGCCAUGUAUGCUUUCGAAUUUAGGGAAACAUUGAGACUUCGCCUGGCAGCAAGGAGAGUUUCAAGAUUUAUGACAAACCGUGACAUCAACCUCAAAAAAAAUUCAACCCGAGAAAAACUCAUUGCAGCCCAGAGCUAUGCAGAAGUAUUGUCAAUGUGGACUAAAAGAAUCAAAGAGUUGGAAGACGAAAUCUAUGAAAUUGAAAGCUUAAUUGUGAGAGACUGGGACGUACACGAUAACAGCAUCUAUUAUUUUGAGCACAAGCGUAUGACGUUUCAAGACGCAGUGGCAUUUUGUGCGACCAACAAAUCCUUCGUGGCCAGCGUUGAAAAAGAAACAG